rnacentral:lncRNA from 1 species
GCAGUUAAAGGUCAACAACUGAUACUUUGAGUAGAGUUCCUGUUAGUGUGACUCAAUAGUAAGUACAUGGUUUAAGAAGGAUAUAGAGGCUUAAAAUCUGUCACAGAAUUGUCAACAGUAGGACCAAGGAUUAUCAUUCUUUGCUUCAUCUGCCUCCUGAGUGCUGGGAUCAAAGCUGAUGCUUCCAUGGGCUCAAACUCAAGACCAAAACGACACAAAACAACAAAACACCAGAGCCCAAGAAAACUCAUAUGACGGUUUCCAGUAAGGUCAGUAUUUUAGACAGUAGGGUCAGCAGGGUAGAGAAGAGUCUUAAGGCCACACAACAAAUGUCUUCAAUGCUCAGGAAAUGGAUUGUGUUACUACAUUAGGUUUAGAUGAUGCCUGAAGAUCUUGUUGGAAUUUUUCUAUUAAAAUGAUUUUUCAUGAGAUAAUUAAUAUUGUGAUAAAAUAUGUUGAGCACACAGCUUUAAAUUCAUACAACAGUGAACAUUUGGAAGCGUCCUUUUAUGGUGUGUCUUUCCUCACUCUCCUGUAGAAAAUUAUUCCCAGGAGGCAAGACAAAGAUGGCCAGUGUGAAUGUUGGGUGCAUAGUCACAGAGCUUAAUGACAGGGAUAUGUCCUUAGAUCUCAUUAUUGUGCAAACAUCAUGGAAUAUACAUACACAAACCAAGAUGGCUUCAGUCUUACCAGGCAAUAUAGUCUUAUCAGACCACUGGUGUGUAUGUGGUCUGUCACUGAUUAAAACCAAUAGUUAGUUAGUGUGUGCCUGAAUCUAAGGGAAAGGCCAACUUUCAAGGUUGGCUUGCUUUCAUUUAGAUGAGUUUAAUUGAAAGUGUGGAGGCCAAUACAGCUGAGCAGUAUACGUUAUUAGUCUCUCUCUCUCUAGCUUUGGCACAGAGCAACCCUAUGGGACAUAGUUGUCUGGAUUACUUUUCAAGGCUUGAAGGUUGCUUUUGUUGGAACCACUGACUUCAUUAGGGUUUGCGCAGGUGUCUUUCGAUGUUAGCAGAUCCAAAGCUCCCGUCCUCAGAUCGUGUCAUGAAGUUUCAUUUGUGUACUCAGAUUCUUGAUGGCUUUACCUCUCUCCAGUCACCUUUCUGUGCCUGAAGCCACCUUACUUCUUCAUCCUAGUGCUAUCUUAAAUGCUAUCCUUAGGAAGACAGGUUGAGUCUUGCCCUUCUAUGGGCGCUGGGCUGCUUGUGAAUAAACUUUCCUUUUUGUGUUGUGAAACUUGUCCUUAAGUCGGUGACUAGCAUAGUACACGGUACACAAAACUGCUGGUUUGAUAAGAACUGCAUGUGGAAAACAACGUUUAAAAAACCAUUGACUGCAAAGAUGAUCAGUGGUUAAGAACACUUGCUGCUGUUACAGAGAACCCAGACUAAUUUGGUUCCCAGCUCCCACAUGCUAUCUCAGAAUCAUCUGUAAUUCCGAGAUUCAUGGGAUCCAUGAAUCUUCUGGUCUCUGGCUACAGCAUGCACAAGGUGCACAUACAAGCAUGUAGGCAAAAACACUCAUAUAC